rnacentral:lncRNA from 1 species
UAUUUUGUAUGUAAAGCCAUGAAUCAAAAUCACAAUUCAAAAAUUAUGUUCUGUGUAUUCUGUAGUUCUUUGCUCACUCAUUGCAAUUGGACGCACAAACCUACGGUCAACAAACAAGAGAGGACAGAGGCCAAUUUAGAAAAUAAUAGAAGUACAGAAAUAAUAUCAGAACCCACUUAAGUGUACAAUACGGUGUGGACCGACAUAUUUAUAUGAGGAUGUGCAUUAAUCGUUAAAUUUGAACCUUACAUUCUUGAACAAUCUGAGAUCAUACUAGCAAAUCAUUUAUACAAAAAUAAAUUCAUGAACUACGUGUAGUACAUCUGAUAAUUGUGGAUUGGUUCUGUACAAAUAAAUAGAUCAUAAAUUGUGCAAUAGUAGUCAUAAAUGCAUGUCUAUAGAAGCAUAUACAUCUAGUAGUUGUAGACAAAUUACAUAUAUAGAUAAAAAAUAGCAUAAAUACUGCAAUGUUGUCGAGAUCUACAUGCAUAUAUGGCAAUAGAUGGAAUCAGAAAACCUCAUCUUCAAUCGUUUGUAGCAAUUGAUGGGAUAUUAAUUUUUCAACAUGCUACUAUUGGAACAUAGAUACACAUAGAAAUCAGCAUAAAAUACCUCUGUCGUGGCAUAAACCUAAAUAAAUUUUGUCAUAUAUGCUAUGUCAUGGACAGUCAGGACAGAUGCAAUGACAUUGUAUAAAUCAUUAAUCAUACAUGUAUAGAAACUAACUGAAGCUAUCAUAGAAAUAUUAAUACUUUUCAAAAUAUCAAAUUUGAAUCAAAUUAUUUUAAAAACAUGUUGCACAUGUAAAACAAACAACUAAGGGAAGGAGCAAUCCUGACCACCUAGCCUCAACAAAAAUUGAUUAAAGUUUAUUAAGACAAGCAAAUCAAGCUAUUUCCAGUAGCAUACCAAACCCAUUGUCGCAACCACACAUAUGAUAUGUCUAUUAUAGAAACUCAAUUACAUGUUGUUCUGAGUGUAACUAAUGGUGGCAAUGACAAACCAGAUGCAAAUGCAAGCUGUAGGAGCAAGAUGAGAAUAAAGUAUGCAAUCAUUUGUUUUACCCUUGGAUCUAAUAAGCAUUUCAUCCAACAAUAGAGCUGCAAGCAAAAAGAGAGGCCUCACCUAUCUAGACGUCAAAUAACCAUGCACCUGCAAGCCGGGACCAGCAUGAUGACCAUGUCACUGGAUAACUAGAUCCAAGAGCUGCAGGACAUAUUCAUCUCCACAACAAUAUUAUUGGACUCAAACACCUAUAGGUCUGUAAAAACAGAGAAAAACAAAGGAAAUAAGAAAAAAUAAGCAUAUAUAGAGCGCCCCAUUGCCGCAUUCUCAUAUAAUGAAUUCAUCAAAUAUUCAUUGAAUUUCGAUCUGCAUAAUUUGUAUUGAAAGACUACAUAAAUGACUAUCAAAUUAUACUAGAUUGAUACAAAUUUGUGAAUUGAAGCAUAGGAGCCUGAUUUGGAUAGGGGUAUUGGUAUUUUAAUAGAAUAUAUGGUCGACAAUUCCAUUUAGUGGUUCAUAAAUGUAUCAAUCACUUAUUUGUACAAUGAUUUAAUAAUAUAUUAGUGGUUUAUUUGUAGAUAUGUUAUUUUCGGAUGACAAAUAUUAGCUAGAUCGAAACCACAAAUAAUGGUGGAUUAAAAAAGAAUGUUGCUAGUCAAAAUAAACGGUCCGUCCUCCAAGUAGCAUAUUCCCUGUUCAUCUUCUCUAGAUCCCUCUGCUACUUGUCCAUGCGCUGGAGGCAGAGAUACAUGAUCGCACGCCACUAGGACAUGGAUGCGGCAAAUUUUAAGAUGAUUUGGCAACAAAUUCACCCAUCCACUUGAGUGCACAUAAACUUGUUUUGCGUCUAAGUGCAUCAAAAAAUUGCAUAAAAAUGCAGAUCCGAUGGAAACAAAAGACGGGGAGAGCAAUGUACAUACACUCUCAAUCCAUCGGCUUGGGGGAGUGCAGGGCCCUCACCAUCGGCUUGGGGGAGCGCCUAGCCGGGAUGUAGGUCGCGCCGUCAGAUGCUGGGUCCAGUGGAGUCUGGCUGGGCGGUGUUCCUCGUGGGGGAAGCAGGAUGGGAUCCUGGGCGACGCAUGCUGUAUAGACGGUCUCCUCGCCUAUGGCGUAGGUGCGUCGAAGCGGUGUACCGGUGGUACUCCCCUGGCGUGGGCGUGAAGUGGUGGUGCAGCAGCGCCCGCGGCCUAGCAUUUUUGGCCCCGUCGUCGUCCGCCGCCGCCAUGGGGAUCAGAGCACACGCGGGUGCACAGAUCGGAGGACCAGUGCAUGAGGACGGGCGGAAUGCGGUUUCUAGGCGUCGGGAUCUGAGGGAGAGAUGGCGGGGCCGGAUGGGAGGUUAGGUUUUUGGGUGUGGGUGGGCAUGUGAGCGUUUGGAGGCGUGGAAU